CAGCUCUGGAGACUGGAAGUUGAAUCAGGAUACCAGCAUACUCAGGUCCUGGUGAGGGCCCUCUUCUGGGCUGUAGAAUGAGGACUCCUUGGAUCCUCACAUGGUGGAAAGCAGGGAGAUUAUGUGCCCACAAUAGAAUGGAGCUGAGUUCUGCUGCAGGAAGUAGAUUGCGCUAAGGAUUUGCAGCUAGAUCAAAAGGUUACCCACAGUGUUGACCUACGAGUGUAAGUCAUGUGUAAUGGGAUCAAGGAAGGUUCAGUGAGAUGCUGAAAUGAGAUACAGAAUACAAUGAUCAUAUUCAGGGCAGACUUCAUUGUAGAAAAACAAAGACCCAGACACAAAGCCAGUUGAUGAGACUUGGACUUCCUCCCUUCUGCUCCCCGCUGCCAACCCUGCUCACAGCCAGCCAGACCCCAGCGGCUCCGGACACUCCUCAAUGCUCAGCACCUGCUGAUCAGGCAUCAUUUGAAAUAACAGAGAUGCCCUCUAUUAUAUAGGAAAAGUUGACAUCUUUCAGGGCACAGGGUUUACAUUGGAGGCUCCCUUCAUAGGUGAAGAAAUGCAAAGGAACUUAGGGAAAGCUGUGUUGCUGAGUUCUGGAGCCCAUGAGGGAAGAGUCUUCUACAGUAAAGCUUUGAGUCUAGGCUGCUGGUGCUGCCGUGGGGGAGCCGGGAGGAGCUCACAGUUUUGACAGAUUUAUUCCCAAAGAUGUGCUUGCCCACUGACCGAGCCUUGGUUGUCUUAAUCCUGCUCAAUCUCCUUUCCCUUGAGUUCCAGCCUCCCUUUAUGAAGCAAUACUAAGGUUACCCCGAAUGAGAAUGGCCACAGAACAGCAGGGAUUUGGGCUUUUUUUUUUCCCCCCCCAAGCAAGAGCCAUAGUGCACUUGCUGGAGGGUAGAAUAGUUCCCCAAAGACGUGUUUCCCUGCUGUUCACAUAAUGAAAAGUGAAGUUCUUGAUGUCUUUU